GACGAACGCUGGCGGCGUGCUUAACACAUGCAAGUCGAACGGAGAGGCCCUGCUUUUGUGGGGUGCUCGAGUGGCGAACGGGUGAGUAACACGUGAGUAACCUGCCCUUGACUUUGGGAUAACUUCAGGAAACUGGGGCUAAUACCGGAUAGGAGCUCCUGCUGCAUGGUGGGGGUUGGAAAGUUUCGGCGGUUGGGGAUGGACUCGCGGCUUAUCAGCUUGUUGGUGGGGUAGUGGCUUACCAAGGCUUUGACGGGUAGCCGGCCUGAGAGGGUGACCGGCCACAUUGGGACUGAGAUACGGCCCAGACUCCUACGGGAGGCAGCAGUGGGGAGUAUUGCACAAUGGGCGGAAGCCUGAUGCAGCAACGCCGCGUGCGGGAUGACGGCCUUCGGGUUGUAAACCGCUUUCGCCUGUGACGAAGCGUGAGUGACGGUAAUGGGUAAAGAAGCACCGGCUAACUACGUG
rnacentral:rRNA from 1 species